rnacentral:rRNA from 1 species
AGAGUUUGAUCAUGGCUCAGAUUGAACGCUGGCGGCAUGCUUAAUACAUGCAAGUCGAACGGUAACAGAUUCUUCGGAAUGCUGACGAGUGGCGGACGGGUGAGUAAAGCAUAGGAAUCUGCCCAUGUAGUGGGGGAUAACUUGGGGAAACUCAAGCUAAUACCGCAUAAUUCCGGGAUAAAGAGGGCCUCUACUUGUAAGCUCUUGCUAUUGGAUGAGCCUAUGUCGGAUUAGUUAGUUGGUGAGGUAAAGGCCCACCAAGGCGACGAUCCGUAGCUGGUCUGAGAGGAUGAUCAGCCACACUGGGACUGAGACACGGCCCAGACUCCUACGGGAGGCAGCAGUGGGGAAUAUUGCACAAUGGAGGAAACUCUGAUGCAGCAAUGCCGCGUGUGUGAAGAAGGCUUUCGGGUUGUAAAGCACUUUCAGUGGGGAGGAAGGCUUCAAAGUUAAUACCUUUGGAGAUUGACGUUACCCACAGAAGAAGCACCGGCUAACUCCGUGCCAGCAGCCGCGGUAAUACGGAGGGUGCAAGCGUUAAUCGGAAUUACUGGGCGUAAAGCGCGCGUAGGCGGUUUUGUAAGUUAGAUGUGAAAGCCCCGGGCUCAACCUGGGAACUGCAUUUAAAACUGGCUAACUAGAGUAUGGUAGAGGAGAGUGGAAUUUCAGGUGUAGCGGUGAAAUGCGUAGAUAUCUGAAGGAACACCAGUGGCGAAGGCGGCUCUCUGGACCAAUACUGACGCUGAGGUGCGAAAGCGUGGGUAGCAAACGGGAUUAGAUACCCCGGUAGUCCACGCCGUAAACGAUGUCAACUAACUGUUGGGCGGGUUUCCGCUUAGUGGUGCAGCUAACGCAAUAAGUUGACCGCCUGGGGAGUACGGCCGCAAGGUUAAAACUCAAAUGAAUUGACGGGGGCCCGCACAAGCGGUGGAGCAUGUGGUUUAAUUCGAUGCAACGCGAAGAACCUUACCUACCCUUGACAUACAGAGAACUUUCCGGAGAUGGAUCGGUGCCUUCGGGAACUCGGUGACAGGUGCUGCAUGGCUGUCGUCAGCUCGUGUCGUGAGAUGUUGGGUUAAGUCCCGCAACGAGCGCAACCCUCGCCAUUAGUUGCCAUUAUUAAGUUGGGCACUCUAAUGGGACUGCCGGUGUCAAACCGGAGGAAGGUGGGGAUGACGUCAAGUCCUCAUGGCCUUUAUGACCAGGGCUACACACGUACUACAAUGGCCGACACAAAGGGCAGCCACAGAGCGAUCUGGAGCGAAUCCCGUAAAGUCGGUCUCAGUCCGGAUUGGAGUCUGCAACUCGACUCCAUGAAGUUGGAAUCGCUAGUAAUCGUGGAUCAGCAUGCCACGGUGAAUACGUUCCCGGGCCUUGUACACACCGCCCGUCACACCACGGGAGUCGGUUGUACCAGAAGUAGUUGAGCGAACCUUUAUGGGCGCAGGCUACCAAGGUAUGAUUGGUAACUGGGGUGAAGUCGUAACAAGGUAACC